rnacentral:misc_RNA from 1 species
GAUGAAGAACGUAGUGAAAUGCGAUACGUAAUGUGAAUUGCAGAAUUCAGUGAAUCAUCGAAUCUUUGAACGCAUAUUGCGCUCUCUGGUAUUCCGGAGAGCAUGCUUGUUUGAGUAUCAGUAAACACCUCAACUCCCUUUUCUUUUUUGAAAUUGGAGCUGGACUUGAGUGAUCCCAACGCUUUCUUCCAAGAAAGUGGCGGGUUGCUUGAAAUGCAGGUGCAGCUGAACUUUUCUCUGAGCUAUAAGCAUAUCUAUUUAGUCUGCCUAAAAAACAGAUUAUUACCUUUGCUGCAGCUAACAUAAAGGAGACUAGUUCUUGUGCUGACUGAUGCAGGAUUCACAGAGACAGCUUCGGCUGACUUUGUAAACUCGAUCUCAAAUCAAGUAAGACUACCCGCUGAACUUAAGCAUAUCAAUAAGCGGAGG